AUUGAACGCUGGCGGCAGGCCUAACACAUGCAAGUCGAGCGAGCGGCGGACGGGUGAGUAAUGUGUGGGGAUCUGCCCGAUAGAGGGGGAUCACUACUGGAAACGGUGGCUAAUACCGCAUCCUCUCGGGUGAACACAUAUGGGAUUAGCUGGGCGGUGGGGUAAAGGCUCACCUAGGCGACGAUCUCUAGCUGGUCUGAGAGGAAGAACAGCCACACUGGAACUGAGACACGGUCCAGACUCCUACGGGAGGCAGCAGUGGGGAAUAUUGGACAAUGGGCGAAAGCCUGAUCCAGCCAUGCCGCGGGUGUGAAGAAGGCCUUCGGAUUGUAAAGUACUUUCAGCGGGGAGGCGUUACCAGCAGAAGAAGCACCGGCUAACUCCGUGCCAGCAGCCGCGGUAAUAC
rnacentral:rRNA from 1 species